rnacentral:rRNA from 1 species
GUUUUACCUGGUUGUCAACGCCUGAUCUCGUCAGAUUUUGGAAGUUAAGCAGGUUUGGGUCCGGUUAGUCCUCGGAAAUGGAGACCGCCGGGAAAACC